UGAGGAAUAUUGGUCAAUGGACGAGAGUCUGAACCAGCCAAGUAGCGUGCAGGAUGACGGCCCUAUGGUUGUAAACUGCUUUAUACGGGUAAGUUGGGAACGUGGUCCCUUUUGUCAGGUUACCGUGAUCGAAUAAGGAGCCGGCUAAUUCCGUGCCAGCAGCCGCGGUAAUACGGAAGGUCCGGGCGUUAUCCGGAUUUAUUGGGUUUAAAGGGAGCGUAGGCCGGAGAUUAAAGCGUGUUGUGAAAUGUAGGAGCUCAACUUCUGCACUGCAGCGCGAACUGGUUUCCUUGAGUACGUAGGAAGUUGGCGGAAUUCGUGGUGUAGCGGUGAAAUGCUUAGAUAUCACGAAGAACUCCGAUUGCGAAGGCAGCUGACUGUAUCGUAACUGACGCUGAAGCUCGAAAGUGUGGGUAUCGAACAGGAUUAGAUACC
rnacentral:rRNA from 1 species